rnacentral:rRNA from 1 species
GAUGAACGCUGGCGGCGUGCCUAAUACAUGCAAGUCGAGCGAAGCGGGGACGGGUGAGUAAUACGUGGAUAACCUCCUAUACGACUGGGAUAACUUCGGGAAACCGGAGCUAAACCGGAUACUUAUCGAUGGAUCCGCGCUGCAUUAGAUAGUUGUGAAGGUAACGGCUUACCAAGAUAACGAUGCAUAGCCGACCGGAGAGGGUGAUCGGCCACACUGGAACUGAGACACGGUCCAGACUCCUACGGGAGGCAGCAGUAGGGAAUCUUCCGCAAUGGGCUAAAGCCUGACGGAGCAACGCCGCGUGAGUGAUGAAGGUCUUCGGAUCGUAAAACUCUGUGAUUAGGGAAGCGGUACCUAAACAGAAAGCCACGGCUAACUACGUGCCAGCCGCCGCGGUAAUUC